GCUCUGGAGGAGGUUGACGACUCCGAAAUGGUGGAACUGAUGGACACCUGUGAUGAGACCUCUGCUGCAGCACCAGAACAAACAAAGGAGACUAGUCAAAACACCCCCUUUGAGCAGUUGGAACAGGCCAAAGUCCCUACUGAGGACAAGGAUGUACCAACUCUUCAACCAUCAGAGGGGAAGCAGAAAGAACCACCAGAGUUGAGUGUUCCACUUCCCCGGAGAGGGGAUGGCGAACAGGAAGAGGAGGAGGGGCCAGGGGCAGGUGAUGAUUGGCCCAUGACUAGGGUGUGAGAGGGCCAUCCCUAUGCAGGACACUGUGGAAGCCCUGGACAUCACUGAGGAAGGUUUGGAGACUCUGCUGUGCUACCUGGAGCUGCACUGUCAGCAGGGGGUAGAGCUGCUCCACCCCACCCUCUCCACCUGUAAGAUGGUCAGCUCUGCAAACUCACCUAGAUGUCACACUGUAUGCCGCUCUGCAGUGUCUCAUACAAGAGCUGCACUUUCUGCACGGACGAGCGGCAAAGCCUGAAGCAGCAAGGGCUUCUGGGGGAUUACUUUGACAAGAGGAGAGACCUGGACCUGAGCAGGAAGUUCCAGGAAGAGAAGGAUGGAGAGGAUGAGGAGGUGUUGAUGAAAUGCAAGAAGGCUGAUGAGGGGAGGACGGCUCAUUUGUUUUUACUGUAUCUAUACCACAGAAGGCUGAUGAGGGGAGGACGGCUCAUUUUAAUGGGAACCACGUGUUUGAUUUACAGUGCAUUCAGAAAGUAUUCAGACUUUUUCCACAUUUUGAUAUAUUACAGCCUUAUUGUAAAAUGGAUGAAAUAA
rnacentral:lncRNA from 1 species